AUUUUUCGGAGUUUAUUGAAAAUGAGUUCUGCUCAGUGCUUAAAGUAAAUAGCCGCGGUAUUUUGACUGUGCAAAGGUAGCAUAAUAAUUAGUCUUGUAAUUUAAGACUGGAAUGAAAGAAUUAACUGGAAAAAUCUUUUUUUUAAUGUACUCUUUCAACUUCACUUUUUAGUAAAAAGGCUAAAAUGUGUUUUUUAGACAAGAAGACCCUAUAAAUCUUUACAUGUUAAUAAUUUAAUAAAUUUUAUGCGUGUUUAGCUGGGGCGGCGGGGGGAUAAACACUCUUAGAGUUUUAUAAUUGAUUUUUAUAUCUAAAAUUUUUGAAAUUCGAACAAGUUACUUUAGGGAUAACAGCGUUAUAUACUCAUAAAGUUCUUAUUGACGAGUAUGUUUGCGACCUCGAUGUUGGAUUAAGUUACCUUUAUUAUGUAAGAGUAAUAAAAGGAGGCCUGUUCGACCUUUAAAUGCUUCCA
rnacentral:rRNA from 1 species